rnacentral:rRNA from 1 species
GGUGAGUAAUGUCUGGGAAACUGCCUGAUGGAGGGGGAUAACUACUGGAAACGGUAGCUAAUACCGCAUAACGUCGCAAGACCAAAGAGGGGGACCUUCGGGCCUCUUGCCAUCGGAUGUGCCCAGAUGGGAUUAGCUAGUAGGUGGGGUAACGGCUCACCUAGGCGACGAUCCCUAGCUGGUCUGAGAGGAUGACCAGCCACACUGGAACUGAGACACGGUCCAGACUCCUACGGGAGGCAGCAGUGGGGAAUAUUGCACAAUGGGCGCAAGCCUGAUGCAGCCAUGCCGCGUGUAUGAAGAAGGCCUUCGGGUUGUAAAGUACUUUCAGCGGGGAGGAAGGGAGUAAAGUUAAUACCUUUGCUCAUUGACGUUACCCGCAGAAGAAGCACCGGCUAACUCCGUGCCAGCAGCCGCGGUAAUACGGAGGGUGCAAGCGUUAAUCGGAAUUACUGGGCGUAAAGCGCACGCAGGCGGUUUGUUAAGUCAGAUGUGAAAUCCCCG